CUUGAUUCUUUGGGGACAUCAAAUUAUUGAGGAGGGACUUGUUUGGAGAGUGUGGAAUGGUUUUUCGAUCCGAGUGUUCUAGGAUAAGGGGAUACCUAAACCAAUCACCUUCAGACCUUUGCUGAAUAAAGGAUUAAAUGGGGAAGCAAUGGUGGCUGACUUGAUUAUGCCAUCACGAAGGUGGGAUUUACAGUUGCUAGAACA
rnacentral:lncRNA from 1 species